ACGAGACACUGCUCCAAAGAUGUUGUUCCGAAUUGUAGGAUAAAGCGGUGCAGGUUAAAUCGGAAAUAGUUUGUGUAAGCCUCGUUGCACAAAUGAAUAUUUAGAGGAUAAGGCAUUGGUUGGUGGUUCAGGUCUUGCCAAUGCUCGAAAACCAAAGGCUGAAAUAAGCAUGUAGAAAGCGUAUGGUUUCCUUGUGCGGACCGGAGUUCGACUCUCCGCAGGUCCACUU
rnacentral:tmRNA from 1 species